rnacentral:rRNA from 1 species
CCUACGGGAGGCAGCAGUGAGGAAUAUUGGUCAAUGGACGGAAGUCUGAACCAGCCAUGCCGCGUGCAGGAAGACGGCUCUAUGGGUUGUAAACCUCUUUUGCCGGGGAGCAACGGGCGCCACGUGUGGCGCCACUGAGAGUACCCGGAGAAAAAGCAUCGGCUAACUCCGUGCCAGCAGCCGCGGUAAUACGGAGGAUGCGAGCGUUAUCCGGAUUUAUUGGGUUUAAAGGGUGCGUAGGCGGAGCGUUAAGUCAGUGGUCAAAUUGAGGGGCUCAACCCCUUCCCGCCAUUGAAACUGGCGCUCUUGAGUGGAAGAGAAGUAUGCGGAAUGCGUGGUGUAGCGGUGAAAUGCAUAGAUAUCACGCAGAACCCCGAUUGCGAAGGCAGCCUUCCGGCGCCCUACUGACGCUGAGGCACGAAAGUGCGGGGAUCGAACAGGAUUAGAUACCCCAGUAGUC